rnacentral:lncRNA from 1 species
GGUUUCAAAAUGAGUUGCCAGUUUGUAAGAUCUACUGAAAACCACCACCACCGCCGCAAAACAAGACGACAACUUAACAGGCAUUUUCUAAGACAACAACAAGAGACGCUCUUGAGACAAGUCUCUAGAACUGCGUCGGCUGAGUGGGAAACAACAGGAGGGGAGCCCUCCAUGUCAGAAACACCAGAGAUAAACUCUGUCAGAGGCCACAAAAGCAUGUGUUCCUGAAGACGCCCUCAAUGUGACAGUAGUGAUUCUUGCAAUGAAGAUGUACAUCAGUCAGGAUUCUGUGCAGAUGUGACUACACGUGUGCAGCAGUUAAUCGUCAGAGACCAUCCACAUUGUUUUAUUGUUGUUGCUUCUGCUGUUGUUUGUCUGCUUGAGGUCUAGUCUCUUGCUGGAGAGGAGCUCACCACGUGAGCUACUAGGGUGGCUGGACACCAAGUCCCAGUGAUGCACCUCGCUGUCUCCCAGAACUGAAAUUCUAGGUAGACAUAGCCAUAGUCAGCUUUGUGCUGCGAGUUUGUUUCUGGGCAUGAGGAUUCGGUACCAAGGUUAAGCAGGGCUGUGGCUUUUGCACGAUUCUGAGUGAUUUUCCUUCAUGAAGUUGGUAGUGAUUCCUGGAAAUCAGUUUUGACACAAAAAGGUUGAGAAAACAGACAAAAAUUUACAACAAAGAGUGUUAGUCAAUACAUCUUUUAUUGAUAUGAUAUGACUUUAUUUUACUUUAUUCUUAGAC